AGAGUUUGAUCCUGGCUCAGGAUGAACGCUAGCGAUAGGCCUAACACAUGCAAGUCGAGGGGCAGCACAUGAGUAGCAAUACGAUGGUGGCGACCGGCGCACGGGUGAGUAACACGUAUGCAACCUACCUUUAACAGGGGAAUAACCCGUUGAAAAACGGACUAAUACUCCAUAACACAGGGGUCCCGCAUGGGAAUAUUUGUUAAAGAUUUAUCGGUUGAAGAUGGGCAUGCGUUCCAUUAGCUUGUUGGUGAGGUAACGGCUCACCAAGGCUACGAUGGAUAGGGGAACUGAGAGGUUUAUCCCCCACACUGGAACUGAGACACGGUCCAGACUCCUACGGGAGGCAGCAGUGAGGAAUAUUGGUCAAUGGAGGCAACUCUGAACCAGCCAAGUCGCGUGAAGGAUGAAGGUCUUAUGGAUUGUAAACUUCUUUUGCAAGGGAAUAAAGUGGGGGACGUGUCCUCCUUUGCAUGUACCUUGCGAAUAAGGAUCGGCUAACUCCGUGCCAGCAGCCGCGGUAAUACGGAGGAUCCGAGCGUUAUCCGGAUUUAUUGGGUUUAAAGGGUGCGCAGGCGGGAUGUUAAGUAGGCGGUGAAAUUUUGCAGCUCAACUGUAAAAGUGCCUUCGAUACUGGCUUUCUUGAGUGUGGAUGAAGUAGGCGGAAUUUGUGGUGUAGCGGUGAAAUGCUUAGAUAUCACGAGGAACUCCGAUUGCGCAGGCAGCUUACUAAACCACUACUGACGCUCAUGCACGAAGGCGUGGGGAUCAAACAGGAUUAGAUACCCUGGUAGUCCACGCAGUAAACGA
rnacentral:rRNA from 1 species